GUACCCCGAUACUGACUCUGGGUCGAGUUGUNAUUUGUAGAAGGUGCUUCGGGCGCGACUCCUGUCCAAGUUUCCUGGAAUGGGGUGGCACAGAGGGUGAGAAUCCCGUACGUGGCCGGCAGUCAAGUAUUUGUGAAGCCCUUUCGACGAGUCGAGUUGUUUGGGAAUGCAGCUCUAAAUGGGUGGUAAAUUUCAUCUAAAGCUAAAUAUCUGUCGGAGACCGAUAGCGCACAAGUAGAGUGAUCGAAAGAUGAAAAGCACUUUGAAAAGAGAGUCAAACAGUACGUGAAAUUGUUGAAAGGGAAGCGCUUGCAACCAGACUCGCUUGCGGUCGUUCAGCCAUCCCUCGGGAUGGUGUACUCGUCCGCAGCCGGGCCAGCAUCGGCUUUGGCGGCUGGACAAAGGCUUCGGGAACGUAGCUCCCUCCGGGGUGUGUUACAGCCCGUUGUGCAAUGCAGUCAGCCGAGACCGAGGAUCGCGCAAUGCUAGGAUGCAGGCGUAAUGGUUGCCAGCGACCCGUCUUGAAACACGGACCGAGGAGUCGACCAAUUACGCGAGUUUUAGGGCGUAAAACCCUGAAGCGCAAUGAAAGUGAACGGAGGUGGGAGCCUUCGGGUGCACCAUCGACCGAUCCGGAAGUUUACGGAUGGAUUUGAGUAUGAGCAUAAUUGGUCGGACCCGAAAGGUAUGUCUAUUCUUCAUUUUAUGAGUUUAAGUUUUUGGCUGGACUUUUUGCUAACAUACUCGAUAGAUGGUGAACUAUGCCUAAAUAGGGUGAAGCCAGAGGAAACUCUGGUGGAGGCUCGCAGCGGUUCUGACGUGCAAAUCGAUCGUCAAAUUUGGGUAUAGGGGCGAAAGACUAAUCGAACCAUCUAGUAGCUGGUUCCUGUCGAAGUUUCCCUCAGGAUAGCAGCAACGGAAACAGUCUCAUGAGGUAGAGCGAACGAUUAGAGGCCUUGGGGUUGAAACAACCUUAACCUAUUCUCGAACUUCGAAUAUGUGAGAAGUCCUUGUUACUUAGUUGAACGUGGACAUUCGGAUGGUCGGUAGUCCCCG
rnacentral:rRNA from 1 species